CCUACGGGGGGCUGCAGUGGGGAAUAUUGGACAAUGGGGGCAACCCUGAUCCAGCCAUGCCGCGUGUGUGAAGAAGGCCCUCGGGUUGUAAAGCACUUUCAGUGAGGAAGAACGCCUGGUGGUUAAUACCCAUCAGGAAAGACAUCACUCACAGAAGAAGCACCGGCUAACUCCGUGCCAGCAGCCGCGGUAAUACGGAGGGUGCGAGCGUUAAUCGGAAUUACUGGGCGUAAAGCGCGCGUAGGUGGCUUGAUAAGCCGGUUGUGAAAGCCCCGGGCUCAACCUGGGAACGGCAUCCGGAACUGUCAAGCUAGAGUGCAGGAGAGGAAGGUAGAAUUCCCGGUGUAGCGGUGAAAUGCGUAGAGAUCGGGAGGAAUACCAGUGGCGAAGGGGGCCUUCUGGACUGACACUGACACUGAGGUGCGAAAGCGUGGGUAGCAAACAGGAUUAGAUACCCUAGUAGUC
rnacentral:rRNA from 1 species